UACGUAGGCAGCGAGCGUUGUUCGGAGUUACUGGGCGUAAAGGGUGCGUAGGCGGUUUUCCAAGUCUGGUGUGAAAUCUCCCGGCUCAACUGGGAGGGUGCGCUAGAAACUGGGAGGCUGGAGUGCGGGAGAGGUAGGCGGAAUUCCUGGUGUAGCGGUGAAAUGCGUAGAUAUCAGGAGGAACACCGGUGGUGUAGACGGCCUGCUGGACCGUAACUGACGCUGAAGCACGAAAGCGUGGGGAGCAAACAGG
rnacentral:rRNA from 1 species